CCCCAGACUCCUACGGGAGGCAGCAGUGGGGAAUAUUGCACAAUGGGGGAAACCCUGAUGCAGCGACGCCGCGUGAAGGAAGAAGUAUUUCGGUAUGUAAACUUCUUUCAGCAGGGAAGAAAAUGACGGUACCUGACUAAGAAGCACCGGCUAACUCCGUGCCAGCAGCCGCGGUAAUACGUAGGGGGCAAGCGUUAUCCGGAUUUACUGGGUGUAAAGGGGGCGCAGACGGCGAUGCAAGCCAGGAGUGAAAGCCCGGGGCCCAACCCCGGGACUGCUCUUGGAACUGCGUGGCUGGAGUGCAGGAGGGGCAGGCGGAAUUCCUGGUGUAGCGGUGAAAUGCGUAGAUAUCAGGAGGAACACCGGUGGCGAAGGCGGCCUGCUGGACUGCAACUGACGUUGAGACCCGAAAGCGUGGGGAGCAAACAGGAUUAGAUACCCCCGUAACU
rnacentral:rRNA from 1 species